UGCUCUUAGGUCUCUCCCAGAGUUAUGUGGAGACUUGCAGCUGAAUUUCUCCAUAGUGCCUCAACUACCUGUUAUUACAGACAUCAGACCAGAAUGUGACAACACAGGGUGAAAGAAGAAGGUGAACUCUCACAAAUGGAAGUAAACAAGGCAUGGUGAAAGUUUGAAAGAUCUCAGCUUCUAGAUGGAUGCAUUAUUUGUUAAUGAUGCAGUAUCUCUGAAGAUGGUGGAAAGCACUUGGAUAAGGAUUAGACUGAACUCAACUGAUUGACAGAGCAAUGAGCUGAAGAAUCUACUUCCUCAGUGGACUUCCAGAGAUGCUAUUGCCUUCCUCGGCCUUUCAAAGGUAGAAAAGUUGAACUCCAAGCAAUUUUCUUGCUGUAUAUAUGUUCAGAACUA